UACGAAGGGGCUAGCGUUGUUCGGAAUUACUGGGCGUAAAGCGCGCGUAGGCGGUGAUCUUUGUCAGAGGUGAAAUCCCGAGGCUCAACUUCGGAAUUGCCUUUGAAACGGGAUCGCUUGAGUCCGAGAGAGGAUGGCGGAAUUCCUAGUGUAGAGGUGAAAUUCGUAGAUAUUAGGAAGAACACGGUGGCGAAGGCGGCCAUCUGGCUCGGUACUGACGCUCAGGCGCGAAAGCGUGGGAGCAA
rnacentral:rRNA from 1 species